rnacentral:tRNA from 1 species
GAGGGAAUGCCGCCCAACAUAAGAACUGCUAACUCCUUAUACCCGUGGUUAAACUCCAUGGUUCCCUUA